GUUAAUACCGAGAACUCGCCGCGUCCGUUCCUUAAGUAUGAAGAAAUGCGCUCGCGUCCGUUCAUUUCGAAGCGAACGCGCACCCGUGAAGGUUCAUCAGACCCUCUCGUUGUUCCUUUCUAUGUAGUGUCCCCUCCCCCUGCGUUUCUACGUAGAGUCAGUCGGUAGAGUGUGUAUUUUCAGUUCAGUUCAGUUCGAUACAAUCGGCUCCGUCCCAGUUUGCGUUUGUAAUGUGACCGACACACACACGAUUUCAUUCAUUUCGGGACAACACGACUCGCCAAACAAAAAACUGAAUUUAAUAAUGAUUUUUAAGCUCGUGACGCUGUUGGUAAUUGUGCGUGCGACCGAACAUCUCACACUGCCUUAUUUUCGGGAGAAAUCCGUGUUGGAAGAGCUCGACCUACGACAGAAUCUGUAAUUUUGUGAACGGAAGUGUGUUCGGUGUGUGUGUGUGUGUGGUGAAAGUUCCUGCUGACCGCUGGUUUUUCUUUUAUACUGUGAUACAAAGUCUUAUUUCCGAGUUCUCCUGUGAUAUUAGUGUUUAUUUAGUCGCUCUUUCGUUGCUACCAAGCUGGAUAUAUUAAGGAAGACUGACCUAUCGCACUGGGCAUGGACUUCGCGAGACAUGCGCAGUUGUAGCCAAAGCACAGUAUGUCCCAAGUGCAAGCACGAGUUCACCUGCUGCGCAGACAGUCGGCGCUCCCUGGUGCUGAGUGGCGGAGGCCUCGUACGACGCCCCGACUUUCCCGAAGAACCCGCACCCCCGGCCGUCGUCAACUCGUCCGCUUCCUCCUCGUUGGCGACCAAUCAGCCUUUAGCGCCACCGAACGCUUGCCUUUCGCCCCAAGUCGGUCUGGUGUCCCCGAGCGUCCCGCUCUCCUUCGGGUACCCGGAGGAACUACCGUUGCAACUGCUGCCCACCCCGCACGCGGCCAAUCAGGACGCGGUACUUCAACAGUUGCGAGAGAACGAUCGGGCUCUACGCCAGUCCGGUUGGUUCUACGAAGGAAUUACCUUCGAGGAGUCACAUGAGAUGCUUAAGAGCGCCAAGGUUGGCACGUUCUUAGUGCGCAACUCGAGCGACCCCAAGUACCUUUACUCCCUAAGUGUUCAGACGGAGAGGGGCCCGACGUCCGUAAGGCUGCACUACACUAACGGCUACUUUAAGUUGGAUGCGCAGGCGCAUUUGCAACACGUCAUGCCCGCCUUCACCAGCGUAAUAGACCUUAUUCAGCACUACGUGCAGGCCUUUAAACGGUACCAACAGAGAGAUAAAAACACGCAGGUGUGGGUGGACAACCAGGGCAAAUGGUACUCGCCGAUCGUAAUCCAGCGGCCGCUGAUCCAGGAAACGGCGAGUUUAAAGCAUCUGGCCCGUCUGGCGAUCCACAGGUCGAUCCGGACGCGACCCGCGUCCCCUUCAACCCCUCAGUAUAGGCAACUGGAAUUGCCUUGUUCUUUAGAGUCUUAUUUAGAGGAAUACCCGCAUUCGAUAUGAAUUCCGCGAUAGCACGGAACGUUAUCUAAUAAAGUACCGUUGAGGUUCUGCUAACGUUGAGGGAACGAACCUUAUUAGGAAUGUGUUGGUUCACGAAGAAACGACAAAAAAUAAUUGGUGGUUUUUUUUCUAAAGAUUUUUUUCUGAGUUAAUGUAAAGGGGUUCUUUAGGAUGAAUUUGAGGCUAAAAACGCGGUUCUACGGUUAUUAUUUAGGGAGUUAAAGCGCUUUUGGUUGGGGCAUCUUUUUUCAAUUUUUUUUUCCAGAUUUUCACUUUCCUUGGGAAUAUAUUCAUGAAAUAAUUGAAAUAUUAUUAAAAGGAUUUUAUGGAACGAAAGGGCUCUUCUUCCCCAAUAAUUUUAUAUGAGAACGUCUUUUGUACCUCACAAACCUUCUGAGUUACAGCCAGUUUUGUUCACCAGGGUCCAAGACCCAUCGGAUUUGAGGUUUUCGAAACACAUUUUUUAACAUCAAGAUUUUUGUUUUUUGUCGGACAUUUUUGGCCAUAACUCGGAAAGUAGUUGAAAUAUUGUUAUAAUUCCUUCAUGUUAUUAUAGGAGGAUUUCUAAGGAUCGAUUUCAGAGCAAAAACAUGAUUCUGGAGUAAAUAUUGAGGGAGUUAGGGUACUUUUGGUUGGGGCAUCUUUUUUCAACUGUUUUUAACAAAAUUUUCACUUUUGUUGCGAAUAUAUUCAUGAAAUAAUUGGAAUAUUAUUAAAAAAAUUUUAUGGAACGAAAGGGCACUUCUUCCCCAAUAAUUUCAUAUGAGAACGUUUUUUGUACCUCAAAAACUUCCUGAGUUACAGCCAGUUUUGUCCAUCAGGGUCCAAGACCUAUCGGAUUUGAGGUUUUCGAAACUCAUUUUUUAACAUCAAGAUUUUAGUUCUUUGUCGGAUAUUUUUGGCCAUAACUCGGAAAGUAUUUGAAAUAUUGUCAUAAUUCCUUCAGAUUACUUUAGGGGGAUUCCUGAUGAUCGAUCUGAGGGUAAAAACGUAAUUCUGGUGUUACUAUUUAGGAAGUUAGGGUACUUUUGGUUGGGGCAUCUUUUUUCAAUUUUUUUUUACUAAUUUUUCACUUUUCUUGCGAAUAUAUUCAUGAAAUAAUUGAAAUAUUAUUAAAAGGGUUUUAUGGAACGAAAGGGCACUUCUUCCCCAAUAAUUUCAUAUGAGAACGUUUUUUGUACCUCAAAAACGUCCUGAGUUAAAGCCAAUUUUGUCCAUCAGGGUCCAAGACUCAUCGGAUUUGAGGUUUUCGAAACUCAUUUUUUAACAUCAAGAUUUUUGUUCUUUGUCGGACAUUUUUGGCCAUAACUCGGAAAGUAGUUGAAAUAUUGUUAUAAUUCCUUCAUGUUAUUAUAGGAGGAUUUCUAAGGAUCGAUUUCAGAGCAAAAACAUGAUUCUGGAGUAAAUAUUUAGGGAGUUAGGGUACUUUUGGUUCGGGCAUCUUUUUUCAAUUUUUUUUUAACUAAAUUUUCACAUUUCUUGCGAAUAUAUUCAUGGAAUAUUUGAAACAUUAUUAAAAGGGUUCUAUGGAACGGAAGGGCACUUCUUCCCCAAUAAUUUCAUAUAAGAACGUUUUUGGUACCUCAAAAACUUCCUGAGUUAGAGCCAAUUUUGUCCAUCAGGGUCCAAGACCCAUCGGAUUUGAGGUUUUCGAAACUCAUUUUUUAACAUCAAGAUUUUUGUUCUUUGUCGGACAUUUUUGGCCAUAACUCCGAAAGUAAUUGAAAUAUUUUCAUAAUUCUUUCAGUUUAUUAUAAGGAGAUUUCUGAGGAUGGAUCUGAGGGUAAAAACGUGAUUCUGGGGUAAUUAUUGGGGUAGCUAGGACACUUUUUGUUGGGGUACUUUUUAUUAAAUAAAUUUUCACUUUCCUUGCCAAUAUUUCCAUAUAUUAAUAUUUAUUUAUUUAAUGCCUAACAAAAUAUAGAAUUACACUAUCUAUUUACAAAAAAAUAUUAUUAUAAAAUAUAAUAUUAAUACAAUCAAGCACCUAGAUGUGAAACAUAUAAUUCAAGUAUCCUUAAAAGGGUUUAAGGAAAAAAAGAGCGUUUCUUGUACCUCAAAAACUUCCUGAAUUAGCCCCUUUUUUGCCAAUUAAACCACCAAUAAACAACAAACCUAAACGGGUCAUUCCCUAAACGUUCCCGAAAUAUCCAGAACAUUCAUGUUCAAGAAUAUGUCAUGUGCUAUUGAAGAAAAUCCAGUUUUCUGGGUAUAACCUUUAGGUAAAAAAUUGCCAAAGACUGUUGUACAUCGGUACCUAUACAUACCGAGGGGAUAUUAAUAAAAAAAACCACCGCAAAAGUAUUGUUAAAACAAACAAAAAGAAAAAAACGCGUAUUUUAGUUAAUAUACGUCCACCAGAAAGGCGGGUACUUAACCAAGUUUAGCUCUCUGCCAUUGCGUGUGUCUUCUGGUGGGCGAAACCAGCAGCCUUAUGUACCGCCCCCGAAGGGAGAGUGAUAAAAUCACCCCCCAGGGGGCGUUUUUUAGUUUAAUUUUUUUUAGUUAGAAUAACAACUUUUGUAUGUAUUUCUGUGUGUGUGUGUGUCUAGUUUGGCCUUAAGGGGCCCAUAAUCGAAUCUCGUUAUAUUAUGUAUCAUCCCGGGCCAAACGCUACUAAAGUAAGCCACAUUGGCUCCGAUGUACUCUUAAGUAAGAAAUUUUUAGCAAUAAGAGAGUUAUUCAAAUGUGUUCUGUACUUUGUAGGUCGCCUCAUGGUUAUUUAUUUCAUUUUUUUUUUUAUUGUAUUGUAUUGUAUUCGGAGAGGGGAUUAUUAUACGAAAUUUCUAGUACAUGACGGCUGCCACUUGUCAAAUGAAAUGACGUCGUUAAAGGGUUCCUGAGGAUUGAUUUGAGGGUAAAAACGUUGUUUUGUGUUAAAAAUUUCGGGAGUUAGGGAGGGUUUAGUUGGGGCACUAAUUUUUCUAACAAAUUGUCACUUUUCUUGGGAAUAUUUUCAUGAAAAAUUAAAAUAUUUUUAACAGGGUUUUAGAAAAAGGAAAUGCAGUUUUUACUGAAUAAUUUAAUAGGAAAACGAUUUUUGUACCUCAAAAACUUCCUGAGUUAGAGCCAAUUUUGUCCACCAGGGUCCAAGACCCAUUCAAUUUGACGUUUGCGAAACUCGUAUUGUCACAUUAAAAUUUUUAGUCUUUAGCGGACAUUUUUGAACAUAACUCAGGAACUACUUGGAAUAUUUUCAUAAUUCUUUUACAUCAACAUAGUGGGCUUCCUGAGGAUGGAUUUGAGGGUAAAAACGUUUUUCUGGGUUAAAAAUUUUAGGACUUAGGGGGGUUUUGGUUGAUUCAUCAAUUUUUUUAACAAAUUUUCACUUUCUUCGGGUAUAUUUUCAUGAAUAAUCAAAAUAUUUUUAAAAGGGUUUUAGGAAAAGAAAAUGCACUUUUUGCUGAAAAAUUUAAUAGGAAAACGAUUUUUGUACCUCAAGAACUUCCUGAGUUAGAGCCAAUUUUCUCCACCAGGGUCCAAGACCCAUUCAAUUUGACGUUUCCGAAACUCGUAGUCACAUUAAAAUUUUUAGUCAUUAGUGGACAUUUUUGGGCAUAACUCAGGAACUGCUUGGAAUAUUUUCAUAAUUCUUUUACAUCAAUAUAGUGGGCUUCCUGAGGAUGGAUUUGAGGGUAAAAACGUUUUUCUGGGUUACAAAUUUCGGGAGUUAGGGAGGUUUUAGUUGGGGCACUAAUUUUUCUAACAAAUUUUCACUUUUCUUGGGAAUAUUUUCAUGAAUAAUCAAAAUAUUUUUAAAAGGGUUUUAGGGAAAGAAAAUGCACUUCUUACUGAAAAAUAUAAUAGGAAAACAAUUUUUGUACCUCAAAAACUUUCUGAGUGAGAGCCAAUUUUGUCCACCAGGGUCCAAAACCUAUUCAAUUUUACGUUUUCGAAACUUGUAUUGUCACAUUAAAAUUUUUAGUCAUUAGCGGACGUUUUUGGGCAUAACUCAGGAACUACUUGGAAUAUUUUCAUAAUUCUUUUACAUCAACAUAGUGGGUUUCCUGAGGAUGGAUUUGAGGGUAAAAACGUUUUUCUGGGUUAAAAAGUUUAGGACUUAGGGGGGUUUUGGUUGAUUCAUUAAUUUUUUCAACAAAUUUUCACUUUCCUCGGGUAUAUUUUUAUGAAAAAUUAAAAUAUUUUUAAAGGGGUUUUAGGAAAAGAAAAUGCAGUUUUUACUGAAUAAUUUAAUAGGAAAACGAUUUUUGUACCUCAAAAACUUCCUGAGUUAGAGCCAAUUUUGUCCACCAGGGUCCAAGACCCAUUCAAUUUGGUGUAUUUGAAACUCGUAUUGUCACAUCAAGAUUUUUAGUCAUUAGCGGACAUUUUUGGGCAUAAUUCAAGAACUGCUUGGAAUAUUUUCAUAAUUCUUUUACACCAAUAUAGUGGGUUUCCUGAGGAUGGAUUUGAGGGUAAAAACGUUUUUCUGGGUUAAAAAUUUUAGAACUUAGGGGAGUUUUGGUUGAUUCAUCAAUUUUUUCAACAAAUUUUCACUUUCCUCGUGUAUAUUUUUAUGAAAAAUUAAAAUAUUUUUAAAGGGGUUUUAGGCAAAGAAAAUGCACUUCUUACCAAAAAAUUUAAUAGGAAAACGAUUUUUGUACCUCAAGAACUUCCUGAGUUAGAGCCAAUUUUAUCCACCAGGGUCCAAGACCCAUUCAAUUUGACGCUUUCGAAACUCGUAUUUUCACAUUAAAAUUUUUAGUCAUUAGCGGACAUUUUUGGUCGUAACUCAGGAACUACUUGGAAUAUUUUCAUAAUUCUUUUACACCAAUAUAGUGGACUUCCUGAGGAUGGAUUUGAGGGUAAAAACGUUUCUCUAAGUUAAAAAUUUUGGGAGUUAAGGGAGUUUUGGUUGGUGCAUUAAUUUUUUAUUUCAUUUUUCUGGGGAAUAUUUUCAUGAAAAAUUAAAAGGGUACUUCUUACUGAAUAAUUUAGUAGGAAAACGAUUUUUACACCUCAACAACUUCUCGAGUUAAUCCACCAGAAUCCAAAAACCAUUAAGGUCCAUUUUUUGCUUUUUUCAAAUUGCUCGUCGAUUAUUCCCAAAACGAUUCGUCAUAUCUGUUCCCCUUAUAAACGCAAUCACCUUAUCGGAUCAAUAAUAUAUUUCUCAGUAAAUGAUUAAUUGUCUAGAACGUUCGUAUAAUAAGAGUACGUGGCUGUUCUGGUACCAAACCAGAAUAUCCCACCUAAACUGUUCAAUUAUUUUAUGUAAAAAGAACAAUAAACUGUAAAAAUCAUUUUAGAGCGAGCGAAAAUGUUAUUUAUAUUCGAGGCGUGGAUGUUGUGCAAACUGUGCGUGUGCAAACCGUGACGUAGUCUCUAACGUAUUUAUUUCACUAGAAUAUAUUAAAUUAUUUAUUUUAAA
rnacentral:misc_RNA from 1 species